GCUUAUUGCGCGGCGAAAAACCUUUACACACAGUGUUUUUUGUUAUUACAAGAACUUUUGCUUUGGUCUGGACUAGAAAUAGUUUGGGCCAGAGGUUUACUGAACUAAACUUCAAUAUUUAUAUUGAAUUGUUAUUUAUUUAAUUGUCAAUUUGUUGAUUAAAUUCAAAAAAUCUUCAAAACUUUCAACAACGGAUCUCUUGGUUCUCGCAUCGAUGAAGAACGCAGCGAAAUGCGAUAAGUAAUAUGAAUUGCAGAUUUUCGUGAAUCAUCGAAUCUUUGAACGCACAUUGCGCCCUCUGGUAUUCCAGAGGGCAUGCCUGUUUGAGCGUCAUUUCUCUCUCAAACCUUCGGGUUUGGUAUUGAGUGAUACUCUUAGUCGAACUAGGCGUUUGCUUGAAAUGUAUUGGCAUGAGUGGUACUGGAUAGUGCUAUAUGACUUUCAAUGUAUUAGGUUUAUCCAACUCGUUGAAUAGUUUAAUGGUAUAUUUCUCGGUAUUCUAGGCUCGGCCUUACAAUAUAACAAACAAGUUUGACCUCAAAUCAGGUAGGAUUACCCGCUGAGCUUAAGCAUAUC
rnacentral:rRNA from 1 species